rnacentral:tRNA from 1 species
GGUGGCUUAGUUGUUAAGAGCUUGGCUAGUAACCAAAAGGUUGGCAGUUCGAAUCUACCAGCCACUC